CACGUAGGGCGCAAGCGUUGUCCGGAAUUAUUGGGCGUAAAGAGCUCGUAGGCGGUUUGUCGCGUCUGCUGUGAAAACUCGGGGCUUAACCCCGGGCCUGCAGUGGGUACGGGGCAGACUAGAGUGCGGUAGGGGAGACUGGAAUUCCUGGUGUAGCGGUGAAAUGCGCAGAUAUCAGGAGGAACACCGGUGGCGAAGGCGGGUCUCUGGGCCGUAACUGACGCUGAGGAGCGAAAGCGUGGGGAGCGAACAGG
rnacentral:rRNA from 1 species